GGAUAGUUCGGUAGGCCCAAAGUACAUGAUGCAGUUCAUCCAUCCAUGACCCUUUGGCCUAAUCUAAUCUGGCUUUUAAUCUCUAUAAAAGGAUAUAGUUAGUUACCUCAGCUUCUCCAUUGGCCUGUGAAUGUCCUACCGAUAUAAGAUGAUGGGAGAUGCUGAGGCUUUGACAGAAUUCGAUAAAUUCGAAAUCAGAGAACUGGCGAUCAUUAUCUGUGAUCAGCACCC
rnacentral:lncRNA from 1 species